CCAUGGGGCUCAAGAACGUUGUCGGAUAGUUCUCAAAGCAAUAGGAAUAUUAAUUUGGAGCCUCUGUUGCCUUUGCAACUCUAUGAAUUUGGGUUUAAUUUUUAUGGAAUUCAAUGUUGAUAGAAAGCAGAGAUUAUAUUGAAUAAAAUAUAUUUUACUCAAGAAGGAGGAUGAUUUUUGUGAAGUUUACAAGGAAGAUAUCCAGAGUCAAAGUGGCUUUAUGAAUUGGUUACAAUAAGGAGUGCAGUUUUGAAAUAUACUGUCGUGGAAUUUUUGAAAGAAGUUGUGUUGUACGCUACUCCAAGUUUUCUCCGGAGCAGUUAAUCUUAGCUAUUGAAUAGCAGUAUUUACAAGUUUUCUCAUUUCAAAUCUUGUCGGCAGAGGCAUGCCCCUUUUGCAGGAGGGUUCGAGAGGCCUUAACUGAACUGGAUCUUUUAGUAGAGGUAUGAAAUAAAAUUGGUCGACUUAGUUUUUGUUGCAUCAAUAUCUCAUGGCUAAAUUUUAAUAACAUUUGAGCUGUUAACUUUAUUGCCAUUUCUAGUCCGUUUUAAACUGCUUUAAAUCACCCUGAUAUCUACAAAAGAUUUAUUCCAUGCAAAUGGAUUUGAUUUAGCUUUGAUUUUGACUGUUUUCUUUGAAUAUCGGGUUGAUCUCAAGCUUUUACUUGACUUCAAUGGAUCGAAAAGAUACAUAAAAACUGGUUUUGAUUGCUUCCUGUAGCUCAAUGACUAAAUUUUUUCUGUAUCAAGUUUCUCUAUUUCCACUUCUUACAACCAGCCUUCUGAUUGCUUUUACUUCUAAAAGAAAUUCCUUAAUUCCUAUCAUUGAUGUUGUAUAUGUUAUGUGUGACCAUCUGAUACAAUCUAAUUUGAGAAGGUUAAGUGGCUGCGUAUGUUCUCUUCUAUACUGCCAUCAGUUUUAUAAUGGUCUAUCAUAUUAUUCGACUGAUGAUAAACAUUCAGGAAGUUUUUGGAAGUUGCAUUUUAGCUAGUUUUCUCCAUUAGAAGGAACGAAUUUCAUCUUUCGAGGUUUAUCCUUGUCCUAAGGGUUCUAUUAGACAUCGGGACAUAGUUAAGAAAUGUGGUGGCAAAGAGCAGUACGUGGUUCUUUCUAUUUAGUCCAUAUUUCAGUUUAUUCAAGAUCAUUUUAAGGUGCCAUAAAGAAUGAAUGGAGUCUGAUAAAAGGUGUAUUAAUUUGUCAAAUAUAAAAAUUAAUCAGUUGUGUUUUUCUUUCCGACCUACAAAUGUACAGUUUGAAAGAAACCACCUUUAAUCUGUCAAAUGGCCAAAGGAUUACUUGUAAGCCCAAAUGCCUUUGAAGUCACGAGUUUAAUUAUAGCAGCCACCUACUAGGGUUUUAGCAUUGCUACGAGUUCUCUAAUACUGAGCAUUGCAUGGCGAAGCAAUUGUCCAAUUUGACUAGUUCAUGUAUUGUUGGCUUUGACAACAGUUAUAAAAUAUAGUUCUUUUAUUAAAAAAAAAAAAACAUUUUAUUAGUUUGUGGUUUGGAGUUAUAUGCCAAGGACAUUUUCUGUUAAUAAUUUUGUUAGCUUCUGUUAGCCGGGAUUCAUAUUUCUAAAUAAUAAGAUUCUUUAAUGAAAAUAGAUUUUGUAAAUAUAUAUAUCUUUUUUGGGUUUAUUAUGAAAAAGAAAAAUGGUUUUGCAAGGUCAUCUUGUAGAUUGAGACUUUUUAGAUAAGGUGCUUUGGAAGAAGGGUUUGGUUGUAAAUGGAGAGGUCGGAUCAUUGGCUAGGUGGUCUUCAGCCGCUUGUCUCUUAGAAUCUUAUAAGGAUCUUUCUCUGUUGACCUUGUUAAAGGUGUAGCAUCAACCAGAGGGGAAGUAUAUGACUGACCCUUAGGGGGAGGCUGGAGUAAAGAUGAAUUGACUCCUAGGAUGAUAGGUGCACAAUUUUAAUUGGAACCUUAAUGUCUGCCAAGAAAUGCUUUUGGGAUGCUUGGUUCAAGAUCAUUCAUAUGAUCAAAGAAAAAACUAAGUUCAGUGAGUUUUUUCAUUUAUGCUCGAGAAUAUAGAGCAACUACUAAUGUGCACAAUUUCAAUAGGCAGGUGGAAAUGUUUUGGAGAAUGUGGUAAGGCCUUGAUUUAGGACUUCCAGUUAGAAUGAUAUAGAAGAAUUUUCAGGUAAAAAAUAAGGACUGCUAUGAAAUCGCUUUUAGCUAAUUUUUUGGCUUAUGCUAAUGCUUUUGCAAUUAUACACCUUUUUAAUAAGAAGAAAUGGUUCCAUUAUACCACUUCAUUUACCAAUCUUAGCCAACAAAAUAUACACCUUUUUGUGAGGUCCUUCAAUUGUGGAGGCAUGGUUUUAUUCUGCGACUUUAUUUUGGAUUUUAACCAACCAUAAAAUAGCAUAAGAAGUAAUGACAUGCUUUUAUUUCUCUAAACAUAUGUCACUUCAUCUUCUCAAUUAAGACUUGUAAAUGCAGGUUUCCUUUUCUUAUUGAUCCAAAUACCAGUACUUCAAUGUAUGAAAGUGGUAAGUGAUUAAGCCUCCUAUUGUUAUAGUAUCCACAUUCCCCAACUUUUCUAAUGCUUUAUUGCUUUAAUUCACGUUUUUUGUUGUGAUCGUUCAUGUUUUGCAUGUGUAGAAUAGUGUAUAUCAACUCAUGCGUUCUGAAACGCAAGUAUCCUCCAAUUGAGAUACAAAAUCUUUCAUCCAAUUUUCUUCUUAUCUUUCACUUUCCUUGGCCAGCUUCCGUGCUAUUUGAUUAUUCUAUUACAUGCAUGUGUUCUAUAUUUUGCUUAUAGGUGAUAUCGUGAAAUACCUCUUUCAUCAGUAUGGAAAUGGUAGAAACCCCUCAACGGGGCUUUUAGAAAGGUAACUGGACGUCUUAACCUUUUUGUUAUUGAGAUUCUUAUAGUUGUUUGGGAGAACAAGUUUGAAAGCUGUUUGACUUGUUAAUUUUGGUAAUUGUUUAUGUUCUUAAUUCUUUCAUUUUUUCUCACUGGUCUAUCAAAAUAAUAAUAAUAAUAAUAAUGGUAAUUAUGUUCUUAAUUACCGGUACUAAUGUGAUCUUACCGACACUAAUGCAUUGGAUCCAAAUACAGUAGUUAAGCAUGUUGUUUGAGAUAGAGUAGUGCUAGUUAGGGAAGUACGUGGCUCCCUUCAUAACAUGCAAAACCAUUUUAGCUGUACUACCUGCGGCGUUCUUCCUUUUUUUUUUUUUUUCCUUCUUUUUUUUGGUGUUGUGUACAUAGCAGCAUGAAUCGAAUCAAACAUUUCCCAGCUGCAAGAGGUUGCUGUGUGGCUCUUUUUAGCUCUAAAAAUAAACAGCGUCGUAAACCCAUGUUAAUUCUCACAAUCUUUAACAUGCAUCAGAAAGAAAGAGUUAUCUGAUAUCACGGAUGUUUUGUGCGGUGUGCAGACCUAUAAUCUUUUCCUCCUGCUUCGGCUUCUGCUUCUUCUUUCCUUCGUGAUCUAAAUAUUUGUUUUAUGUAGUACAUUGUUUACGGGGUGGAUGCCAACAAUUCUUAGGGCUGGUAGAGGAAUGACAUUGUGGGGAAAGGCCUCGACAGACCCACCGCCAAAAAAGUUGGAACUUUUCUCAUACGAAAACAAUCCGUAUGCUCGAAUUGUGCGCGAGGCAUUAUGUGAGUUGGAGCUUCCUUACAUCCUUCAUAACGUGGGAGAAGGAUCUCUACGGACAAAGCUACUUCUUGACGUUUCCGGAUCAAAAGAGGUACCCUACUUUAUUGAUCCCAAUACUGGUAUUGAAACUGGCAACUACAAGCAGAUUUUGUCUCAUAUAUUCCAGACGUAUUCUGCAGCUACCCUAUAGCCUUGAUGUCUGAUACCAUUAAAUUUUUUACCCAUGAAGCAACAGAAGACUUUGUUAAACAUGCUUUUAAGGCUGUAGGAUACUCUUUUAUAAACUAAGGUAUUCACUGUAUCCUAAAAUUAUCAUAUCCUAAGUCCCUAUUGAUGAAUA